UACGUAGGGUGCGAGCGUUAAUCGGAAUUACUGGGCGUAAAGUGUGCGCAGGCGGCCGAGCAAGUCGAGUGUGAAAGCCCCGAGCUUAACUUGGGAACUGCGCUCGAAACUACUUGGCUAGAGUGUGGCAGAGGGGGGUGGAAUUCCACGUGUAGCAGUGAAAUGCGUAGAGAUGUGGAGGAACACCGAUGGCGAAGGCAGCCCCCUGGGCUAACACUGACGCUCAUGCACGAAAGCGUGGGGAGCAAACAGG
rnacentral:rRNA from 1 species